CUAUGUUCAUUUUGAAAGGUUAGUUUCCCGAUGCCAUAUAGAAAGUUAUUUAGGUCCAAGAGUUCUAUACGAAAGCAAUCUACUUUCUAAUUAUUAAUAGAUCUUCAAAGCAGAUAUCGUCCAGUAGUGAUCACAGUGGUGCCUUCCUUGAAAAGAGACUUUUGUAUUGCUCUGUGCUGUUAGCCCUACGGGAAGUAUGUCAAUAUCGCGUGCAACCGAAUCCUAAUUAACAACCUUACUGCAAACAUUCAAUUUGAGACUUUCGUUAGAACGCCAUAAAGAAGCACACGUGAAUCAAAGUGUAGUUGAAAAGACAAUUCCUGAGAUCGUUUAACUUACACAACGUCCAUUUUUGAGGUUUGCUACCUUAGGGAACGCGUCACAGGUUGCAGGCAGAAUAGGUCAAGAAUAUAGAAACAGUGUUCUUGCAGCACUACCUAAAGUAUCUGCUAAGCAGUCCCUAGAUACGCUUCACUUGGCAUAUAUCUGUCAAAACAGAAACAAUGAAUCGGCUUUUCAGUAGAAGUGUCGUUAGAUUGAUGAUAAGAGGAGAUUCUCGCCUGAAAGAUCUGAUUUACCGGAUGAUACUGAGGGUAGUACGAGCUCAGUAUGCAGAAUACAUAAGAGAAGAAUUGUUGGAUUCUGGAUACUUAACCAGUUCCGCGGACAGCGAUGACGAGGAAAAUGAGCUUAACGAAAUUGUGAAUGGUCGGGAAUGACACCCUUAAGAUGGGAGAGAUGGUAUACCAUAUGUGAAUUCAAAAAGUGCAUGACAUUCUAUCUUCAUCUGAAAAUACUAUUUAGAAAUAUUUAAACCAAGAAAUUAUGUGACAGUUGAAAUUUAGUGCUACCUUUGUUUUCGUUUAUUUAUCAUUUGGUGGAAUCGUCACCAAACCUUUAUUGUAGCUUUUUAAAAAAUAAAAGUCAGAUCGAUUGAA
rnacentral:lncRNA from 1 species